rnacentral:ribozyme from 1 species
UGCCCAGCAGCUCCUAUCCCUACCUCCUCGCGGUACCGGCCGGAAACUAUGAGCAACCUUAGGGAAGAUCGGGUAACCAACCCCGGUGGGAACUUUGGUCAUAGGCUGACAGGGAAAG